UUAGGUUGCUCUCUUGCUAUGGUGGCACCAACCAAAAACUGGGAGCACGACCCAGUUACCAAUCAUAAUAUGAAGAAACAUUUGACUUUGGCCUGAAGUCCUACUUACAGUUCUCAGUGCAAAUUCAGCGGAACACCGUGAAGGACGUGUCCAUUCCUCAAAUACGUAACAGGAAAGGAGGAUUGUGGCAGACAGCAGAUGAAAAAGAUGACUCGGUCCUGCUGGCCCCCUCUAGCCAAGACCUACAGCAUGCAUUGGGGCGGUUCGUGGUUUGAGUGCAAAAGCUGCUGCUCCUUCACAUCGAGAGGAGCCAGUUGAGGUGGCUCAGGCAUCUAUACCGGAUGCCUCCUGGACAGCUCCCUCAGGAGGUGUUCCAGGAACCUCCCACCGGGAGGAGGCCCAGGGGACGGCCCGGGACACGCUGGAAGGAACAAUGUCCCUCAGCUGGCCUUGGAAUGCCUUGGGCUCCCCCCGGAGGAGCUGGAGGAGGUGUCUGGGAAGAGGGAAGUCUGGGCGUCUCUAUUUAGUCUGCUGCCCCCACAACGCAGUUCUGGAUGAAGCGUCAGACGAUGAGUACGAGUCAUAUUGAAAUAUAAAUAUGUUUAGAGUUAUUUCACACUUUUUGUCUACUACAUGAUUCCAUAUGUGUUUAUUCAUAGUUUUGUUGCCUUUUGGGAGAAUCUAAGAAAACCUUUGACCAGUAGUGUAGUUUUAAUGCAAAGAUGGAUUAAAAUGUAUGGCUAACAGAAGACGCAACACCUUAGGGGCAGCAAAACUGGGUUUUAAGAAGGCUUUUCAACUUUUGUACAUUUACCUCACUUGUAGAAGGAUAGACCUUUUGGUUUUUGGCACUUUGAGACAGUGCAAAAAUGUAAA